UACACUCCUGCGGGAGGCAGCAGUGGGGAAUAUUGGACAAUGGGCGCAAGCCUGAUCCAGCCAUGCCGCGUGAGUGAUGAAGGCCCUAGGGUUGUAAAGCUCUUUCACCGGUGAAGAUAAUGACGGUAACCGGAGAAGAAGCCCCGGCUAACUUCGUGCCAGCAGCCGCGGUAAUACGAAGGGGGCUAGCGUUGUUCGGAUUUACUGGGCGUACAGCGCACGUAGGCGGACUAUUAAGUCAGGGGUGAAAUCCCGGGGCUCAACCCCGGAACUGCCUUUGAUACUGGUAGUCUUGAGUUCGAGAGAGGUGAGUGGAAUUCCGAGUGUAGAGGUGAAAUUCGUAGAUAUUCGGAGGAACACUAGUGGCGAAGGCGGCUCACUGGCUCGAUACUGACGCUGAGGUGCGAAAGCGUGGGGAGCAAACAGGAUUAGAAACCCGUGUAGUCCCAUGA
rnacentral:rRNA from 1 species